AAUAGAUACCCGGGUAGUCCACCCCGUAAACGUUGGGAACUAGUUGUGGGGUCCUUUCCACGGAUUCCGUGACGCAGCUAACGCAUUAAGUUCCCCGCCUGGGGAGUACGGCCGCAAGGCUAAAACUCAAAGGAAUUGACGGGGACCCGCACAAGCGGCGGAGCAUGCGGAUUAAUUCGAUGCAACGCGAAGAACCUUACCAAGGCUUGACAUACACCAGAACACCCUAGAAAUAGGGGACUCUUUGGACACUGGUGAACAGGUGGUGCAUGGUUGUCGUCAGCUCGUGUCGUGAGAUGUUGGGUUAAGUCCCGCAACGAGCGCAACCCUCGUUCUAUGUUGCCAGCACGUAAUGGUGGGAACUCAUGGGAUACUGCCGGGGUCAACUCGGAGGAAGGUGGGGAUGACGUCAAAUCAUCAUGCCCCUUAUGUCUUGGGCUUCACGCAUGCUACAAUGGCCGGUACAAAGGGCUGCAAUACCGUGAGGUGGAGCGAAUCCCAAAAACGCCGGUCCCAGUUCGGAUUGAGGUCUGCAACUCGACCUCA
rnacentral:rRNA from 1 species